UGAUGGAGAGACACUCGACCCAGGCCAGGCCAGAGGAGGCGUUGAAGCUGGAGCAGCCUCCGAUGUGCAAGGACCGAGAGCCGACCACAGCCUCUCAGAGCACAGGGAUGGCCACACCCAGGUCACACCCGCCUCUGGACACAGAUGCUGCCACGUCCUCCCAGGGUCCCGAGGACAGGCCAGAGAAUGUGGUGGCCAAGCCAGCCUCUGCAGAGGUGGAGGGCCCUGACGGAGCCCUCUCCCAGCUUCCCCUGGCCAAGUUCUUCCCUCCGGACAACCCCACCCACCAGAUGCUGGAGCGGAGCCUGCGGGAGGAGGAGCUGCGAGCACAGCACCAGGCCGCGCUGCUGCGCCUGCGAGAGAUGGCGCUCCAGGAGAAAACGCUCGCGGAGCUGGCCUGGCUGGAGCAUCGACGAGGGUUGUCUCCAACGUUUUGCCAUUAUUAAUGAAGAUAGAGAGAUCAUUUCCUUAAGGUAAAACCUUAGAAAUGGAAUGACCGGGUCAGUGAGAAUGCAUCUGGAAGCCGCUUGAUACUGCCACAUUGGUCUCCAGAAAGGUGAUUCCAGUUAACAUCCUCACCCGGUGUCUGAGCGGGCCAGACUGAGGGUG
rnacentral:lncRNA from 1 species